GCUUCCGCGUGGUGAACGUUGCGGUGCAGGGCGCCAUGGCGGUGCCGCAGGUGGUGGACGCGCUCAACAUGCUCGAUGCCGAUCCCGAGGUGGACGUG
rnacentral:tRNA from 1 species